rnacentral:pre_miRNA from 1 species
CCAACUCAAAUUUGUAUGCAGUUGGAUCAGCGCCCCUAGCGGCAAACGUAGGCAAACUUUCCAACUCCAUACAAAUUUGUGUUA